UUUAGAAAACAAAAGGAACCUGCUUUCUAUCAAUUCCUUCUGCAUUAGGUUAAAUAGAAGUCUCGGAACACUAAACCCAGGAUACAUACAAAAGAAGAAAGAAAGCCUAUUACCUCAAGCCCUAGGAACAGAUUCAAUGAGGCAGCAGGGUGUCGCUAGCCUACCGUAUGUACAGAAUAUACCGGUUCAGAAUCCAUGACAGCAGCAACUACCAUGUACCGAAGCUGCAGCUCACAUGCUCUUCUGUGAUCUUCUGCAGCUGGUUUUCCAUCAUUUUCAAGGAUGUGUAAGGAGGGAGGCAGAGCCGGUAGAAGCAGGUCUGCGAUGAUGGGAGCCGGUCGGGCGAAUCUGAUGUCUUGUAAAUAAAAAGUUUGGAGCUCAGUCCACAAAACCCGUCUGAUGGUAAAUACUUCACCGAAGUCCAGAAGAAGAGGAGCUGCCUCUGUCUCUCGAUUGACAUGCGCUCCACAGCCUGCAGUGUCAACAGAUACGUAUUCAGGCGUGCACAAAACUAGUUGCCACUACAUAAUAGAGCUUCUACAUAAGAAAGAUAUAGAUUUCAGCUGGAUUUAUAAACUGAUAUGCAUGCAAGGUAAUAAGGGACAUCUUUUCGUUCUUUUGUUUCAUAACCGUGCCUCAAACAAUACUAAAGCAGCACAACAGGUUGUUACUUUUAUCACAACACGUCACAGUCCAAUAUAUAAACACUGGUCCAUAUCAGGUAACAGCACCAGGUCCUGGCUCCUGUUGAUGGAAGCUCCA
rnacentral:misc_RNA from 1 species